UACGUAGGGUGCAAGCGUUGUCCGGAUUUAUUGGGCGUAAAGAGCUCGUAGGCGGUUUGUCGCGUCGGAUGUGAAAACCCAGGGCUCAACCCUGGGCCUGCAUUCGAUACGGGCAAACUAGAGUAUGGCAGGGGAGACUGGAAUUCCUGGUGUAGCGGUGAAAUGCGCAGAUAUCAGGAGGAACACCAAUGGCGAAGGCAGAUCUCUGGGCCGUAACUGACGCUGAGGAGCGAAAGCAUGGGGAGCGAACAGG
rnacentral:rRNA from 1 species